rnacentral:rRNA from 1 species
CACAGGUGGGAUUGCGUUUUAAGAUUUCGGGCGUUGUGUAAGUUAGGUGGCCAUAUGUGCUUAGAGUCAAUAAGAGGAGAGUUAGAGGAAUGAACCAAAGGAAGGAUGAAAUCUAUAGAUAUUGUUGGAAGAUCAAAAGCGACGAAGCAUCACUCUAUUUUAUGGACUGAACACUGACUCACUAAAGUGUGGGGAGCAAACCGG